UACGGGGGGGGCAAGCGUUGUUCGGAAUUACUGGGCGUAAAGGGCUCGUAGGUGGCCAACUACGUCAGACGUGAAAUCCCCAGGCUCAACUUGGGAACUGCGUCUGAUACUGGAUGGCUUGAAUUCGGGAGAGGGAUGCAGAAUUCCAGGUGUAGCGGUGAAAUGCGUAGAUAUCUGGAGGAAUACCGGUGGCGAAGGCGGCAUCCUGGACCGGUAUUGACGCUGAGGCGCGAAAGCGAGGGGAGCGAACGGG
rnacentral:rRNA from 1 species